rnacentral:lncRNA from 1 species
GGGGCGCCAACGAUUAAAGUUGAGACUUAUAUACUUUUUGUGGUAUUUUUAGCACACAUCACAGAAAAUGUUGGGGUACAAAGCGGCCAAGGUUGCGGCUACAGCAAAGGUGAAGAAGAGAGAUGUCCUAUGUUGGUCUAAGAGCUGUUAUGAGAAUAUAGAGGAGGAGGUCCUGUUGAAGAGAAAUCGAACUUCGACUCCUAUAGUCCUACGUAUUCCUGAGGUAGUACCUUCUCCGAGCUCAUCUCUUGUGGUCGCC